GUGUUGGUAGCAAAACAGUGUGGGAUUGGGUUAACAUUACUGUUGCUAUGAAACAGUUUGGGGAUGGGUUCACAAGUACUUUUCUUCAGCAGAGAGUGGCGGGAGCUGGGCGUAAGUGAAGUCGGAGCAGUGAGGCAGUUAGGAAGCAAUGACCUGUGAACGUAUCUCCACUGAUUUCCCAAGCAACGGCCUUUGAACUCAAUCCUCAACUCAAGAUCCAUUUAUUUCAGCCGCAGCAGCAGCGUGAGUGGGAGCAGGAACAGUGAGAUCGAGGACCAGGGGCCUCACCUGCCGGGAGGAUCCAAAGAGAACAGGAUCAGCCACUCCAAUCUCUCCAACCAACUGAAGUCCUGAAUCCCUGAUGACAUAUCUGUAAUUCCAGUCUCAAACGUCUCUAGGAACUUAACAUCUUUCUGCAAAGGGACAGCCCAUAUUUGGGAUACUUUCUACAGAGAUAAUUGAAAGAAGGAACAUUAUAUUUCAAUUAUUUGAAACAAAAGUUUGACUCCACUGGGAAUACUGUCGACAUUUGUCAUUGCCGUGUGGACAAAGGAAAUAGAGGCACUGGACAUGUGUCACUCAGAUUCACAAAGACAUUGUCAGAACUGAAAACAUGUAACCCUCAGGAAAGUCGGGGGAGCUUUUCUCCAAAAAACAGAAAACUAAAGGAUGAUCUGACGGAAGCCUUGAAAAUGAUGAAGGGCUUUCAAAAUCCAAUAGUGAUUUCAUUAGAAACCUCUUUACAAUGCAACAAGUCAGAAUGUGCAAUUCACUCCAAGAGCAAGAGAUGGAGUCAACAGAGGAAAAUGUUUAAGAAGUUGGAUGCACACGUGAGGGAGAAAGUAAUGGAAGGAUCUGCUGAUGGGGGAGAUGAAAGGGGAGGAUGUGGAGCAUAAAUACUGAUGGAGACUAGUUGAGUUGGUUGGGCGAGAGACUCAAUGGAACAAAGACAAACAUAUUUACUUCUGAUCUAAUUGGAGUCCAGGACAAAAUAAAUUUACUCGAUCAGCUUUUGUGGAUCAUUUCCUUGGGAAUGUGCAGUCCCAGGCUCAAAGAGCAUCAGCCUCACUGGAAGCAAAGUGGUUAGAGCGGCCAGUCCAGGAGAAGGAAACCCUCUGAUCCUCCCACUUUACACAAUUCAGAACGAACAUGGCUCAGUCUUGGAGAGAGAUAAUAGGAACUGAAGAUUUCUGUCUGCAAAUAUUCCCUUUCUAACAUCCUGUUAAUGAGAAUGGUUGCAGUAUGGAGAAGAGCAUGCAGAUGCUAACUGUCCUAUGUAACUGCUUCACUUGUUUUUUUUAUACUUCGACAGACUGGAUGACUGAAUGAAUCUUUUCCGUCACUCAGAACAUAUUAAUGGCUUCUCCCCAGCCUGACCUCGCUGGUGUAUCUGUAGACCAGUUGAAUCUCUGAACCCGCUUCCCACACUUGGAGCAUUUGAAUGGCCUCUCCCCUGUGUGGAUGCAGAUGGUGGAAUUUGAAUUCAACAAAUAUGUGGAACUAAGAAUCUAAUGAUGACUACGAAUCUAUUGUCAAUUGUUUGAAAAACUCAUCUGGUUCACUAAUGUCCUUUCAGGAAGGAAACUGCAAUCCUUACCUGGUUUGCACCACAUGUGACUCCAGAUCUGCAGCAAUGUAGUUGACUUUGAACUGCCCUCUGGGCAAUUAGAGAUGGGCAAUAAAUGCUGCCUGGCCAGCGACGCCCUCAUCCUAUGAAAAAAUUCAGAGUAGGUGAAUGGCCUCUCUCCAGUGACAGCACAUCGGUGUUUCCACAGAGCGGAUGAAUCAGGAAUCCCUUCCCACAUUCAUAGCAGAUGAAAGGUCUCUGCCUCAUGUGACUGCAUUGAUGAAACUCCAGCACUGAAAAGGAAUGGAAUCCUUUCUCACACCCCUCACAUUUCCAUGGCUUCUCCACAUUGUAUGAAGUCUUGUGUCUCUGCAAGCUCCUACUGUGAAUGAUGUGAUAUUUCUUUCAGCUCUGAGACCAGGUCAAGGUAUAUCAGUUCACUGGAAGAUUCUCACUUGGGUGUAUUUGUCUCAGUACUUUUCCAGAAAAAAUGUUGUUUCAAAUCUUUUUGUAUCUCUUAAUGUAUGGUUUCAAGCCAAUGCCAUUCAAGUGUGGCUUAUUUCAGUGGCCCCAUUGGAUCCUUAAAUGAUGGCUGUUUCGAGAUUUCUGUUUGAAAAUCUUCCCUUUCCAACAUCCUGCAAAAAAGAGUAUUAUGUUAAUUAUUAUUGGAUUAUAAAUUAGGUUAAAAAUUCAAAACAAUCAAAACUAAUUGAUCAUCACUUCUUGUCUGGGCAGAUUCUGCUCCCCACUGGGUUCACUUCCUUUCCUU